UCUCCGUUGGUGAACCAGCGGAGGGAUCAUUAUCGAGUUUAUAACUCCCAAACCCUAUGUGAACUUACCACUUGUUGCUUCGGCGCGCGCUUCGGCGCCGCCGAGGACACUUAAACUCUUUGUUUUUAUAAGCAUUCCCGAGUGGCCGAAAGGCAAAAUACAAAUGAAUCAAAACUUUCAACAACGGAUCUCUUGGUUCUG
rnacentral:misc_RNA from 1 species